CCUACGGGAGGCAGCAGUGAGGAAUAUUGGUCAAUGGACGAGAGUCUGAACCAGCCAAGUAGCGUGAAGGAUGACUGCCCUAUGGGUUGUAAACUUCUUUUAUAUGGGAAUAAAAUGUUCCACGUGUGGGAUUUUGUAUGUACCAUAUGAAUAAGGAUCGGCUAACUCCGUGCCAGCAGCCGCGGUAAUACGGAGGAUCCGAGCGUUAUCCGGAUUUAUUGGGUUUAAAGGGAGCGUAGGUGGAUUGUUAAGUCAGUUGUGAAAGUUUGCGGCUCAACCGUAAAAUUGCAGUUGAAACUGGCAGUCUUGAGUACAGUAGAGGUGGGCGGAAUUCGAGGUGUAGCGGUGAAAUGCUUAGAUAUCACGAAGAACUCCGAUGGCGAAGGCAGUUCACUGGACUGCAACUGACACUGAGGCUCGAAAGUGUGGGUAUCAAACAGGAUUAGAUACCCUAGUAGUC
rnacentral:rRNA from 1 species